rnacentral:rRNA from 1 species
UACGGGGGAGCAAGCGUUGUUCGGAUUUACUGGGCGUAAAGGGCGCGUAGGCGGCCAGCACAAGUCAGUUGUGAAAUCUCCGGGCUUAACUCGGAAAGGUCAACUGAUACUGUGCGGCUAGAGUGCAGAAGGGGCAACUGGAAUUCUCGGUGUAGCGGUGAAAUGCGUAGAUAUCGAGAGGAACACCUGCGGCGAAGGCGGGUUGCUGGGCUGACACUGACGCUGAUGCGCGAAAGCCAGGGGAGCGAACGGG